rnacentral:rRNA from 1 species
GAUGAACGCUGGCGGCGUGCCUAAUACAUGCAAGUCGAGCGAACAGACGAUGAGCUUGCUCCUCUGACGUUAGCGGCGGACGGGUGAGUAACACGUGGAUAACCUACCUAUAAGACUGGGAUAACUUCGGGAAACCGGAGCCAAUACCGGAUAAUAUAUUGAACCGCAUGGUUCAAUAGUGAAAGACGGUUUUGCUGUCACUUAUAGAUGGAUCCGCGCCGCAUUAGCUAGUUGGUAAGGUAACGGCUUACCAAGGCGACGAUGCGUAGCCGACCUGAGAGGGUGAUCAGCCACACUGGAACUGAGACACGGUCCAGACUCCUACGGGAGGCAGCAGUAGGGAAUCUUCCGCAAUGGGCGCAAGCCUGACGCAGCAACACCGCGUGGGUGAUGAAGGUCUUCGGAUCGUAAAGCUCUGUUAUUGGGGAAGAACAGCUGUAUAAGUAACUAUGCACGUCUUGACGGUACCUAAUCAGAAAGCCCCGGCUAACUACGUG